GAUGAACGCUGGCGGCGUGCCUAAUACAUGCAAGUCGAGCGAACAGACGAGGAGCUUGCUCCUCUGACGUUAGCGGCGGACGGGUGAGUAACACGUGGAUAACCUACCUAUAAGACUGGGAUAACUUCGGGAAACCGGAGCUAAUACCGGAUAAUAUAUUGAACCGCAUGGUUCAAUAGUGAAAGACGGUUUUGCUGUCACUUAUAGAUGGAUCCGCGCCGCAUUAGCUAGUUGGUAAGGUAACGGCUUACCAAGGCAACGAUGCGUAGCCGACCUGAGAGGGUGAUCGGCCACACUGGAACUGAGACACGGUCCAGACUCCGACGGGAGGCAGCAGUAGGGAAUCUUCCGCAAUGGGCGAAAGCCUGACGGAGCAACGCCGCGGGAGUGAUGAAGGUCUUCGGAUCGUAAAACGCUGUUAUUAGGGAAGAACAAAUGUGUAAGUAACGAUGCACGUCUUGACGGUACCGAAUCAGAAAGCCACGGCUAACUACGU
rnacentral:rRNA from 1 species